AGCGCUUGUUUGGAGUUAGUAGC
rnacentral:siRNA from 1 species